GACGUAGGUGGCGAACGUUAUCCGGAAUUAUUGGGCGUAAAGGGUGCGUAGGUGGUGUAGUAAGUUAUCGGUGGAAAAUCGAGGCUCAACCUCGUGGAAGUCGGUAAUACUGCUAUGCUAGAGGAUAGGAGAGGUUAACGGAACUCCCUGUGGAGCGGUGAAAUGCGUAGAUAUAGGGAAGAACACCAAUAAGGCGAAGGCAGUUAACUAUUCUACUCCUGACAUUGAGGCAUGAAAGCGUGGGGAGCAAAACGG
rnacentral:rRNA from 1 species